UCAUUUAGAGGAAGUAAAAGUCGUAACAAGGUUUCAACUACGGAGACCUUGCAUCCUCCGGGAGGCAGCCCGACUAUAAACGGCUCGCCGCAUGCAAGUUGGUACGCCAGCUACACAAUCGAACUGCGGGGACCUCCUAAAACUCUCACUACUCUCUGCCGCCGAAAGGCGGCCGCACAGUAACAACGCGAGAGAUGCUACAAUGGAUAAUCCGCAACGCGUGUCCUACGAGCCUCGGCUACGGGCACCGUUCACAGACUAAGUGAUUGUGGGUAGGGGACCCUAUCUAAGAUAUAGUCGGCCUUGGGGAGAGACCCCCGAGAUAUGGCGUCCGUAGGUGAACCUGCGGAAGGAUCAUUACAGAGUUCAUGCCCUUACGGGUAGAUCUCCCACCCUUGAAUAACAUACCUUUGUUGCUUUGGCAGGCCGCACUCGUGCCAGAGGCUUCGGCUUCUGAGUGCCUGCCAGAGGACCACAACUCUUGUUUUUAGUGAUGUCUGAGUACUAUAUAAUAGUUAAAACUUUCAACAACGGAUCUCUUGGUUCUGGCAUCGAUGAAGAACGCAGCGAAAUGCGAUAAGUAAUGUGAAUUGCAGAAUUCAGUGAAUCAUCGAAUCUUUGAACGCACAUUGCGCCCUUUGGUAUUCCGAAGGGCAUGCCUGUUCGAGCGUCAUUAUAACCACUCAAGCCUACGCUUGGUAUUAGAGUUCGCGACCAGCGGCUCUUAAAAUCAGUGGCGGUGCUCGUAAGCUCUACGCGUAGUAAUUCUCUCGCGACGGAACCUUACGAGUUGCUUGCCAAAACCCAAAUAUUUUUUAAUGAUUGACCUCGGAUUAGGUAGGGAUACCCGCUGAACUUAAGCAUAUCAAUA
rnacentral:rRNA from 1 species